GGGGAAUUUUCCGCAAUGGGCGAAAGCCUGACGGAGCAAUACCGCGUGAGGGAUGACGGCCUAUGGGUUGUAAACCUCUUUUUUCAGGGAGGAAUCAAUGACGUGUACCUGAAGAAUAAGCAUCGGCUAACUCCGUGCCAGCAGCCGCGGUAAGACGGAGGAUGCAAGUGUUAUCCGGAAUCACUGGGCGUAAAGCGUCUGUAGGUGGUCCAAUAAGUCAACUGUUAAAUCUUGAGGCUCAACCUCAAAAUCGCAGUCGAAACUAUUAGACUAGAGUAUAGUAGGGGUAAAGGGAAUUUCCAGUGGAGCGGUGAAAUGCGUAGAGAUUGGAAAGAACACCGAUGGCGAAGGCACUUUACUGGGCUAUUACUGACACUGAGAGACGAAAGCUAGGGUAGCAAAUGGGAUUAGAUACCCCAGUAGUC
rnacentral:rRNA from 1 species